rnacentral:rRNA from 1 species
CCAAACUGUAACUGCAACCCGUCCCAUAUUCCACACGGGACGCAAGCUGGGGGGAUAAUUUGGCACAAUGGGCGCAGCCUGGUGCAGCAUGCGGGGUGAUAGAAGAACGCUUCGGGUUGUAAAGUACUUCAGCAGGGAGGAAGGAGGUAUCGUUAUAGCGGUAUCUUUGACGUUAGCUGCAGAAGAAGCACCGGCUAACUCCGUGCCAGCAGCCGCGGUAAUACGGAGGGUGCGAGCGUUAAUCGGAAUUACUGGGCGUAAAGCGCAUGCAGGUGGUUGUUAAGUCAGAUGUGAAAGCCCGGGGCUCAACCUCGGAAUUGCAUUUGAAACUGGCAGGCUAGAGUACUGUAGAGGGGGGUAGAAUUUCAGGUGUAGCGGUGAAAUGCGUAGAGAUCUGAAGGAAUACCGGUGGCGAAGGCGGCCCCCUGGACAGAUACUGACACUCAGAUGCGAAAGCGUGGGGAGCAAACAGGAUUAGAUACCCUGGUAGUCCACGCCGUAAACGAUGUCUACUUGGAGGUUGUGGCCUUGAGCCGUGGCUUUCGGAGCUAACGCGUUAAGUAGACCGCCUGGGGAGUACGGUCGCAAGAUUAAAACUCAAAUGAAUUGACGGGGGCCCGCACAAGCGGUGGAGCAUGUGGUUUAAUUCGAUGCAACGCGAAGAACCUUACCUACUCUUGACAUCCAGAGAACUUAGCAGAGAUGCUUUGGUGCCUUCGGGAACUCUGAGACAGGUGCUGCAUGGCUGUCGUCAGCUCGUGUUGUGAAAUGUUGGGUUAAGUCCCGCAACGAGCGCAACCCUUAUCCUUGUUUGCCAGCGAGUAAUGUCGGGAACUCCAGGGAGACUGCCGGUGAUAAACCGGAGGAAGGUGGGGACGACGUCAAGUCAUCAUGGCCCUUACGAGUAGGGCUACACACGUGCUACAAUGGCGCAUACAGAGGGCGGCCAACUUGCGAAAGUGAGCGAAUCCCAAAAAGUGCGUCGUAGUCCGGAUUGGAGUCUGCAACUCGACUCCAUGAAGUCGGAAUCGCUAGUAAUCGUGAAUCAGAAUGUCACGGUGAAUACGUUCCCGGGCCUUGUACACACCGCCCGUCACACCAUGGGA